GACGGAGGAUGCAAGCGUUAUCCGGAAUGAUUGGGCGUAAAGCGUCCGCAGGUGGCAGUUCAAGUCUGCUGUCAAAGACCGGGGCUCAACCUCGGAAAGGCAGUGGAAACUGAACAGCUAGAGUAUGGUAGGGGCAAAGGGAAUUCCUGGCGUAGCGGUGAAAUGCGUAGAGAUCAGGAAGAACAUCGGUGGCGAAGGCGCUUUGCUGGACCAUAACUGACACUCAGGGACGAAAGCUAGGGGAGCGAACAGG
rnacentral:rRNA from 1 species